UCCUCGCUCAAAGAAUCGCAACGAAGCACACGCACGGAGCGCCUCUCGAGGUGUCUCUUUUCGCGCUUUGGGAGAAAGUCCCCGGACAACGAUCUUCGCGAUCGCACUUUCAGCAAUGAACCGCCAUAGAAGCCGCGGCUUCCAUUACCGACUACGACACUUUCCGCGUCUCUUUACCCGUUCGCACUCCUUUUCGUCGGCUAUCUGGAGGCUGUGAGUGGAGGGGCUGGCACCUGGAUGACGAUAUGAGUCCGUUGGCUACCUUGCUCACUUGCUGAAGAGCGCCUGGCAAUCUGGAGGAGGAGGGAGACAUCGGGGAGGGCCAGGUAUGGAGGGUCUUUUCGUCCAGUUUGAUGGUUAUGCGAUUGCCUUCCUGCACUUUGAUAAAACAAGGUGACAUGGAUGGUAACUCAAUGGGGCUUAUUCUUGAUGCGAGG
rnacentral:RNase_MRP_RNA from 1 species